rnacentral:rRNA from 1 species
CAGCGCCGCGGGAAUACGUAGGGUGCAAGCGUUAAUCGGAAUUACUGGGCGUAAAGCGUGCGCAGGCGGUUAUAUAAGACAGAUGUGAAAUCCCCGGGCUCAACCUGGGAACUGCAUUUGUGACUGUAUAGCUAGAGUACGGCAGAGGGGGAUGGAAUUCCGCGUGUAGCAGUGAAAUGCGUAGAUAUGCGGAGGAACACCGAUGGCGAAGGCAAUCCCCUGGGCCUGUACUGACGCUCAUGCACGAAAGCGUGGGGAGCAAACAGGAUUAGAGACCCCAGUAGUCCCUGUCUCUUAUACA